UACGAAGGGUGCAAGCGUUACUCGGAAUUACUGGGCGUAAAGCGUGCGUAGGUGGUUUUUUAAGUCCGUUGUGAAAGCCCUGGGCUCAACCUGGGAAUGGCAGUGGAUACUGGAAAGCUAGAGUGCGGUAGAGGGUAGUAGAAUUCCCGGUGUAGCAGUGAAAUGCGUAGAGAUCGGGAGGAACACCAGUGGCGAAGGCGGCUACCUGGACCAGCACUGACACUGAGGCACGAAAGCGUGGGGAGCAAACAGG
rnacentral:rRNA from 1 species